rfam:Triticum urartu cultivar G1812 contig918847, whole genome shotgun sequence.
CAUGCACUCCCUCCGUCCGAAAAUACUUGUCCUAGAAAUGGAUAAAAUGGAUGAAUCUAUAACUAAAAUAAGUCUAGAUACAACCAUUUCUAGGACAAGUAUUUCCGAACGGAAGGAGCAUGUA